GCUGGGGGUGGUAGCACACUCCUGUAAUCCCAGUGACCCAGGAGGCUGAGGCAGGAGGAUCAUGAGUUCAAAGCCAUCCUCAGCAACUUAGCAAGUCCCUAAGCAACUUAGUGAGACCCUGUUUCUA
rnacentral:sRNA from 1 species